ensembl:processed_transcript Gm10544 predicted gene 10544
AGCCAGCCAGCCAGCUCCCCUGAACUGUUCCUGAUCAGGGGUGGGCUGCUGCUGCCGCUGAUCCCCGCGGCUGAGGGAAGAGUCUGGUUACCAAAGGCUCGUCUGGGGUUUGCAUGGGUAGUGCACGCUCCAGGUGAACAUGUGGAAGCAAAAGAACAACUCUGCGGAGCUGGUUCUCUCAUUCCACUUCCAUGUGGGUUCCAGGAAUUCAACUUGGGCUGCCAGGCUUGCAAGGAUAUGCACACACCUACCAGGACUGGCAUUGCCAUGACAACAGCUGAAGUCCAGGGUGAGCAGAAAACAUCACCUGUAAUGCCUCCAUUGAGCCCUUCAGAAUAUAGCUUCUUUACCCCAGGCUUCUGAAGACUGUGAAGUUAAAUGAAGAGCUUACCAGCAAAACAGAAGGAUUAAAAGGGAAAACAACUGCAAGAGGCACACACAUGAGUAAGAAGCAGUGCAAAGUGGGUCCAUGUUCCUUUAUGCCCCUGGUCACGGCCACUAUGGCAUUGGCAUAAAAGGACGGUCAGUGACAAGACACGGGAAGAGCUCAGAUACAAGUGGAAGAAGCCACAAGCACAAGAAAGAAACCUUCCAGAAACAAUUGCACCUUCAUCAUAAAGCACAUGAAGUCAGUGAAAAACAGGCUUUGUUUGAGACUGAAAACCAAGCUUGGAGAAGCAUUUUCCUUUUCUUCAAGGAGCAACAAAUAAAGGCUCCUCUCCCAGUGCCCAGGAGUGCAGCAGUGGGUGACUCAACUCUAAGGAUGUUGAACAAUCCAGGUAACCUCAGAGGACCUGUAUCUGGACCUACAAAUGGGAACUACUGGAUUCUAAACAUCAGGUCAUCAGUCAAAGCCAGAUAGUAGAUUACAAGCCAUGCAAUUAUUUCCCCCCAAACAUGAGUAAGCUGACUACAUAUGCGUUGAUGUUCCAUGCCAAACACUGCGAUGCAUUUAGGCACUUGGUUUUGUGUAGUCAGUAAGUAAGUCUGACACUGGAAUUCAGCUCAGCUCUUAUUCUAAAUAAUAAUAUUAAUCUUUACACCAUUCCUCUUCAAAUGACAAAGAACACAGUUCUAAUGCCUCCAAGUACAAAGGACAUGGCAGAAGGCAGAGGACAGCCCUUUACCUUUGUGUAGUUGGUGUGGAGGUGUUUCAAAGAGCAUAGUUAGGUCACCAUGGAAUAGCUGAAAAAAAUGUGAGCCUGACCACUCCAUGAGGGUCAUGGGGCAUGUAUCAGCAGCCAGUAAGGGAGGAGAGCAAUGGAGAUUCUUCAUCUAUCUCCAUCAAAACUAUGGAUCCUGAACAGCUGGGCAAAAUGAUCUCCAGACUCCACCCCUGUCUAAGAAGCUGUUGGCUGUGGAUAGAUGAUGGGAAUAUUCUUUUUCUUAAGGAUGUGGUAACUGAUAGAUUUCCCAGUCUCCAGUGCAUGGCCCCACACCCUUGCAUAUAUGGGCAGCACUAACAGGACUUAAAGGGCUGUCAAAACAAAUGCCAUGGAGUUAGGGGGAUAGAGGGAAAGUUGGAAGGGGUAGAUGGAGAUUAAGUAGGAUCAUAUUCACUAUAUACACAUAUGAAACUCUCAAAUAUGAAAAAAUUUUAAAAUGAAUUUGGCUGCAACUGCUUUCUGACAAAUAGUAAAUGUAAGUGUAUGUAUGCAUAUAUAUUGGAUGUGUGUAUAUACACAUGUGUGUAUAUGUAUUCAUAUACACAUAUAUUUAUGCUUUAGGAAUAUUUAUCCCUAAUAUUCUUUUGAAUCUGAAGGACAGACCUGGUUCCAAAACAUGAAAUAAUCCAUAAAUGCUCCCAUUUUAUAUGUGGCUGGAGGUUUACACUGAUCAAUAUCAUUAAUGAGAGGAUAUAUUCAAAGCUAGCUCCUAAUUUACCAAACUAAUGUAUAAUGUCUUCAUGACGGCAAGACUAACCCUAGAGGUCGGGAGUGUGCUCAAGCAUGACUUCAUGUGUGGCUUUGGGUGGCUCUGACCUGCCUAGGUGCUUCCUCAUCCUACAACAGUUAGUAUGCUGAAAACACUCUUCUCUCUCAUUCAUUCACUGAACCGGGACUGCAGAUUGGUUCAAUGGAGUCUUUCAUGUUCUUCCCCUUGCCAUCUGGCAAUAUUAGCUAUAUAAUAAAUUGCUUCAACUUGUGCAUUUUUGACCAACCUUACUUUUAGUUGACAUGUGAAACACUCAUACAUAGCUAAUGCUGCUUGAUUAGAAUAAAUAAAGUCCUUGGAAUUGCCA